rnacentral:rRNA from 1 species
GAUGAACGCUGGCGGCGUGCCUAAUACAUGCAAGUCGAGCGAACAGACGAGGAGCUUGCUCCUCUGACGUUAGCGGCGGACGGGUGAGUAACACGUGGAUAACCUACCUAUAAGACUGGGAUAACUUCGGGAAACCGGAGCUAAUACCGGAUAAUAUAUUGAACCGCAUGGUUCAAUAGUGAAAGACGGUUUUGCUGUCACUUAUAGAUGGAUCCGCGCCGCAUUAGCUAGUUGGUAAGGUAACGGCUUACCAAGGCAACGAUGCGUGGCCGACCUGAGAGGGUGAUCGGCCACAUUGGAACUGAGACACGGUCCAGACUCCUACGGGAGGCAGCAGUAGGGAAUCUUCCGCAAUGGGCGAAAGCCUGACGGAGCAACGCCGCGUGAGUGAUGAAGGUCUUCGGAUCGUAAAACUCUGUUAUUAGGGAAGAACAAAUGUGUAAGUAACUAUGCACGUCUUGACGGUACCUAAUCAGAAAGCCACGGCUAACUACGUG